UUUUGGACAAUGGGGGCAACCCUGAUCCAGCCAUGCCGCGUGCGGGAAGAAGGCCUUCGGGUUGUAAACCGCUUUUGUUCGGGAAGAAAUCCUCUGGGCCAAUACCCCGGGGGGAUGACGGUACCGGAAGAAUAAGCACCGGCUAACUACGUGCCAGCAGCCGCGGUAAUACGUAGGGUGCGAGCGUUAAUCGGAAUUACUGGGCGUAAAGCGUGCGCAGGCGGUUGUGCAAGACAGAUGUGAAAUCCCCGGGCUUAACCUGGGAACUGCAUUUGUGACUGCACGGCUAGAGUGCGGCAGAGGGGAGUGGAAUUCCGCGUGUAGCAGUGAAAUGCGUAGAUAUGCGGAGGAACACCGAUGGCGAAGGCAGCUCCCUGGGCCUGCACUGACGCUCAUGCACGAAA
rnacentral:rRNA from 1 species